rnacentral:rRNA from 1 species
ACAGCAGCCGCCGCGGUAAUACGAAGGGUGCAAGCGUUAAUCGGAAUUACUGGGCGUAAAGCGUGCGUAGGUGGUGGUUUAAGUCCGUUGUGAAAGCCCUGGGCUCAACCUGGGAAUUGCAGUGGAUACUGGGUCACUAGAGUGUGGUAGAGGAUAGUGGAAUUUCCGGUGUAGCAGUGAAAUGCGUAGAGAUCGGAAGGAACAUCAGUGGCGAAGGCGGCCAUCUGGGACAACACUGACGCUGAGGCACGAAAGCGUGGGGAGCAAACAGGAUUAGAUAUCCCCGUAGUCCCUGUCUCUUAUAC